rnacentral:rRNA from 1 species
CCAAUAGCGUAUAUUAAAGUUGUUGCAGUUAAAAAGCUCGUAGUUGAAUUUCGGGAUUGACACAUCGGUCGUGCCUUAAGGGGUAUGAACUGGUGUAGUCAAUUUCUCACCUUCUGGAGAACCGCGAUGCCCUUAAUUGGGUGUCGCGGGGAACCAGGACCUUUACUUUGAAAAAAUUAGAGUGUUUAAAGCAGGCAUUUUGCUUGAAUACAUUAGCAUGGAAUAAUAAAAUAGGACGGCAUGAUUCUAUUUUGUUGGUUUCUAGGAUCACCGUAAUGAUUAAUAGGGAUAGUGUGGGGCAUUAGUAUUCAAUUGUCAGAGGUGAAAUUCUUGGAUUUAUUGAAGACUAACUACUGCGAAAGCAUUUGACAAGGAUGUUUUCAUUAAUCAAGAACGAAAGUUAGGGGAUCGAAGACGAUCAGAUACCGUCGUAGUCUUAACCAUAAACUAUGCCGACUAGGAAUCAGACGAUGUUAAUUUUUUAAUGACUCGUUUGGCACCUUAC